rnacentral:rRNA from 1 species
UACGUAGGGGGCAAGCGUUGUCCGGAAUCAUUGGGCGUAAAGCGCGUGUAGGCGGCUCGAUAAGUCUGCUGUGAAAGUCCAGGGCUCAACCCUGGGAUGCCGGUGGAUACUGUCGAGCUCGAGUCCGGAAGAGGCGAGUGGAAUUCCUGGUGUAGCGGUGAAAUGCGCAGAUAUCAGGAGGAACACCAAUGGCGAAGGCAGCUCGCUGGGACGUGACUGACGCUGAGGAGCGAAAGCAUGGGUAGCGAACAGG